UGUGAACGUCCACCGAUUUACCACCUUCGAAAACAUCCACCUUCCCCCUCUAAUGGUAGGUGUAGUCUUCUAUGCCUGACACACGGCUUGGAUUUUUUAAAAGCCGCACGAGGAAGUUAACACAAGGAAAAAUUCUUUGGGUUCCAAAUCGGAGUACGCACUGCUCCACAUCCAUUUACAAAUUCUCAUAAAACAACAUAACACACCAAAACCAUUACUAUUUGUUUAUAUAAAACUAACAAUGCGCGAUGCAUCCAUCUUACUACACAAAAUGACAAUAAAAAAUCUGGGAGACUUCAA